UUAUCUACAAAGAUUCCCCACACACUUUACAGUUUGGAGGGUAGAGCAUUUACUUCUUGCCUGGAGAAUGGCAAAACUGCUCUACACUCUAACCUGUAAAGUGUGUGGGGAAUCUUUGUAGAUAC
rnacentral:miRNA from 1 species